rnacentral:rRNA from 1 species
GCCAGACUCCUACGGGAGGCAGCAGUGGGGAAUAUUGCACAAUGGGGGAAACCCUGAUGCAGCGACGCCGCGUGAGUGAAGAAGUAUCUCGGUACGUAAAGCUCUAUCAGCAGGGAAGAAAAUGACGGUACCUGACUAAGAAGCCCCGGCUAACUACGUGCCAGCAGCCGCGGUAAUACGUAGGGGGCAAGCGUUAUCCGGAUUUACUGGGUGUAAAGGGAGCGUAGACGGUUACGCAAGUCUGGAGUGAAAGGCAGGGGCAUAACCCCUGGACUGCACUGGGAACUGUCAGGCUGGAGUGCCGGAGGGGUAAGCGGAAUUCCUGGUGUAGCGGUGAAAUGCGUAGAUAUCAGGAGGAACACCGGCGGCGAAGGCGGCUUACUGGACGGCAACUGACGUUGAGGCCCGAAAGCGUGGGGAGCGAACAGGAUUAGAUACCCCGGUAGCC